rnacentral:sRNA from 1 species
GCUGGGUAUGGUGGCGCAUACUUGUAAUCCCAGUGGCUCGGGAGGCUGAGGCAGGAGGAUUGAGAGUUCAAAGCCAGCCUUAGCGAGGCCUUAAGCAACUCAGGGAGACCUUGUUUCUA